UACGAGGGGGGCAAGCGUUGUUCGGAAUUAUUGGGCGUAAAGGGUGCGUAGGCGGUUUGGUAAGUCUUAUGUGAAAUCUACAGGCUCAACUUGUAGUCUGCAUGAGAAACUGCCGGGCUUGAGUAUGGGAGAGGUGAGUGGAAUUCCUGGUGUAGCAGUGAAAUGCGUAGAUAUCAGGAGGAACACCUGUGGCGAAAGCGGCUCACUGGACCAUAACUGACGCUGAUGCACGAAAGCUAGGGGAGCAAACAGG
rnacentral:rRNA from 1 species